AUUCUGUACAUUCCAAAAAACAUUCCAAAAUAAGAGAGAGAAACAUGUAAUCAAUAUUUUAUGAUUAUUUUUCCAACAGGAGGAAAUUCAAAUAAAAAUUUUCAAAAAAAUAUUUUUAUGAAAAAGAGAAAUACAAAAGAAGACAAUGGAGCAGAGCUCUCGUCGUAAAGAUGCCAAUCGGAAAUAACUCGUCGAUCAUCUGUUUAUAUGCGUAUGUAUAUAUCUUGUUACUCCUACUACUAAAUUAUAUAGUUUCUUCCUCUUUGUGUGUUACCACGUAUAAGGUGAUGAGGUUUCCCAGGGACGAAUAACAAGGACUUUAAGAGAAACUUCCAAAGUGUUUAUUCUUUUCAACCAACCCCCUUGGAAACCCCUGCCAGGAGGACGUAUGGAAAAGGGUUGGAAAAACCAAAAGGCGUUGAAACGAUUUCCACGUGAUUAUUAUUUCUUCCAGACGAGGACCAAAUAGGGCAAACAUUUAUUACAGUUGUACACAGCAAGUGUGUGUGCUGUAGACCCGACUUUGUGCAAGAGGACACCGGUAUGGAAUACACUACAAGAAAGGCUCAUCUUUCCUGCUGAUGGGGGGUCAAGGAAGACCGCCGAGCUUGGCUUUUUCUUUUUCCCCCUUCAUUUUUUGGACUAUAAAAAUUUUUUCGGGGGUGUAUAGAUGUAAACCAGAAAAAUUCGGUGUGACUGGGAAUGUUUUCACAAACAUCGUCCCAUGAGCAUCGUGUUCACUCCCAGCACCCAACAACCAAAUGAAAUCCAGCGCAGGAUUUUAUUUUUUUUUCAAAUUUUCGACAAAAAUAGACGGUGACUGAAUUUUGUGAUCGUGUUGAAAUCAUCGCUCAAAGAUGUGAUCUCAAUAGAUAAAAGAAAAAAAAGCUUUUGUGCUGGCCAACGGUGACGCACUGUGAUAAGCUAUUUGGUUACUAUUUGAACGACCCCGACACGGCCAGCAACAGCAAACAAGACGUGUGUAGGCGAAAGUGGACAAUGGAUUCCAUUGGGAAGAAAA